GCACCCGCGGUAAUUCCAGCACCAAUAGCGUAUAUUAAUGCUGCUGCUGUUGAAAAGCUCGUGGUUGGAUCAAGAGUCGGACAGUGCACGGUGGCCCCGUUGAUCUAGUUUGGUUCCGAUCAAGCUAGCCGCGGCGGAAUCACCCCGUGUGCCAAACUGUCCACUCUAACAGGCCGAAACGGUUCCCUGUGAGUAGGCUCCUUAAUUGGGGUCGAAAGCGCCUACGCAUCAACCAUAUGCAUACGGGACGUCGGCCAAAGUUACUGUAAACAAACCAGCGUGUCCAAAGCAGGCUUUCGCCUGAAUGUUCGAGCAUGGAAUGACAAGGGAUCGAUUAUCUCGGUUCUUUUGUUGGUUUUUAACCCGAGAAGGGGUAAUUCAGGCCACGGUGUCUGAGUUGGGUUCCCCUAGCCCUUGGGUUAGGCCCCAAUUAGGCCGUGUCCUUACGGGAUCAAUAGGGACUGACGGAGUCGUACGUACUUCCGCGUCAGGGGUGAAAUUCUUAGAUCGCGGGAAGAUGAACUUAUGCGGAAGCAUUCGACAAGAAUGUCUCAUUAAUCAAGAACGAGAGUGUGGGGAUCGAAGAUGAUCAGAUACUGUCGUAGUCCACUACUGUAAACAAUGCCGUCUCAGGAUUGAGAAGUGAACUGAAUGACUUCCACAGCGCUAACCCCUGAAACGAGAAAUCAAAGAUCAUGGGUUCAGGGGGGAGUACAUUCGCAAGGCUGAAACUUAAAGGAAUUGACGGAAUGACACCACAAGGCGUGGAGUAUGCGGCUUAAUUUGACUCAACACGGGGAAUUUUACCAGGUCAGGACAAUGUAAGGAUUGACAGAUUGACAGCUCUUUCUCGAUCCACUGUGUGGUGGUGCAUGGCCGCUCCUGGUUGGUGGAGUGAUUUGUCUGGUUGGUUCCGUUAACGAACGAGAUCCCGACCCUUAAAUCGGUGCCCGUGUCAAUUGUAGUUUCGCUCCUGCCCGCUUGCGGGACCUGGACGGGACGAGACUGCGAGAAUACUUCUUAAGGGGACUGUAUGCGUUUAUAGCAUGCGGAAGAGCGAGCCAAUAGCAGGUCUGUGAUGCUCCUAAAUGUCCCAGGCUGCACGCGCACUACACUGAUGCAAUAAACGAGUCUUAUUGCCUUCUGGCAACCUACCUGGAAGCGGGUGGGGAAUCUUUUGAACUUGCAUCGUGAUGAG
rnacentral:rRNA from 1 species